rnacentral:misc_RNA from 1 species
GAUGAAGAACGCAGCGAAAUGCGAUAAGUAGUGUGAAUUGCAGAAUUCAGUGAAUCAUCGAAUCUUUGAACGCACAUUGCGCCCUUUGGUAUUCCUUAGGGCAUGCCUGUUCGAGCGUCAUUUAAACCUUCAAGCUAAGCUUGGUGUUGGGUGACUGUCCGCUUCACGGCGGACUAGCCUCAAAAUUAUUGGCGGCCGGUACAUUGGCUUCGAGCGCAGCAGAAACGCGAACUCGGGCCCGUCGUAUUGGCUCCCAGAAGCUAUCUUCACAAUUUUGACCUCGGAUCAGGUAGGGAUACCCGCUGAACUUAAGCAUAUCAAUAAGCGGAGGA